GAUGAACGCUGGCGGCGUGCCUAAUACAUGCAAGUCGAGCGAACAGACGAGGAGCUUUCUCCUCUGACUUUAGCGGCGGACGGGUUAUUCACACGUGGUUAACCUACCUAUAAGACUGUGAUGACUUCGGGAAACCGGAGCUAAUACCGGAUAAUUUAUUGAACCGCAUGGUUCAAUAGUGAAAGUCGCUUUUUCUUUCACUUAUGGAUGACUCCGGGCCGCAUUAGCUAGUUGGUAAGGUAGCGGCUCACCAAGGCGACGAGGCGUAGCCGACCCGAGCGCGAGAUCGCCCACACUGGAACUGAGACACGGUCCAGACUCCGACGGGAGGCAGCGGUAGGGAAUCUUACGCGAUGGGCGAGAGCCUGAUGGAGCAACGCCGGGGGAGUGAUGAAGGUGUUCGGAUCGUAGAGCUCUGUAAUUAGGGAAGUAGAAAUGUGUAAGUAACUAUGCACGUAUUGACGGUACCGGAACAGAAAGCCACGGCUAACUCCGUG
rnacentral:rRNA from 1 species